CUCAUGCAGUCGAAGAACGAAUCUUGGGGACAAUGGAGAGUGAGCAAAGCGAUAGAAGUUUAUUAAACAAAGGUCUAGAGAAAGCUCUCAGAAGUGAGAGAGGUCCCGUCAGGGUUGCCUCUGAGGGCUUUUAGCAGGAGUCUUUUAUUGAGAACUGACUAGGAAGCUGGUGGCCUUGAGAUUUUCGUCCUGUCUUGGUUUGAGCAGGACUAUUGAUAACACCCUCAAUGACUUCAUUCUUUGUGGUCUGGUGAGUUUCUGUGAUUGCUUGGUAACCAUCAAAGGGAGAUACUUCCUAACAUUUCACAGCUAGGGAGCCAGGUUUUGGGGUUGUUUUUUGUUUUUUCUGUUUCCACUGCCUUAUCUGUUUCCUUGGGAUCUAUGGGAGCCUGACUCCGGGCCUUUCCCUUACCUUGUCCUGCUAGGCCCAUCUGUUCCUACCUCAGCACAAGGGAGAGGCCACAGCCUAACAGGCAGCUGUGCCAUCAGGGACACAGGCAGGGACCCCACAUUUGUUUGGCCACACUUUGCCAACCAGGUCCCAGGGAGAGGUCAAGGGGCCCUGAGCAGGGGUCUGGGUGACACCAGCUCGAGCAUUGACCAAGCCAUGGGCUCUGCAGCGAGGGAGCACCAGUUAUCUGAUUCAGGCGACAGCCUCCAGAGAAUCGGCACUUCUGCUCCCCUUGGUCUCAGGAUGUAAGGUCCCAAAAAAUGGUGAGGACAUAACCCUGGCCUGCUUGGCAAAAGGACCCUUCCUAGAUUCUGUGCGGGUCACGACAGGCCCAGAGUCACAGGCCCAGAUGGAAAAGACCACACUGAAGACGCUAAAGAUACUGGACCACGCUCAGUUGUCUUUCCUGUCCAUCCCCUGGAAGCCAGAGCUGCACUACUGUGAAGCCAUCAUGAAAGACAACAAACAGAAGCUGCAUAAAGCCAUCCACUGGCCAGCAUCCUGGGAAACUGCCACCUCCCUGUUGACUCAUGCGCCAUCCAGGACCACACCCAAGCCCCCAGGACCACACCCAAGCCCCCAGCACACCCAAGCCCCCAGCAUGGCCAGGAUCUCAGGUGAGGAGCCCCCUCCUGCCUUCCCAUCCCUUCCGCUGACUCCUUCCAGCAGCCCUCCGUGACAUCUCCCAU
rnacentral:lncRNA from 1 species